rnacentral:rRNA from 1 species
GGCGAAAGCCUGAUGCAGCAACGCCGCGUGAGCGAUGAAGGCCUUCGGGUCGUAAAGCUCUGUCCUCAAGGAAGAUAAUGACGGUACUUGAGGAGGAAGCCCCGGCUAACUACGUGCCAGCAGCCGCGGUAAUACGUAGGGGGCUAGCGUUAUCCGGAAUUACUGGGCGUAAAGGGUGCGUAGGCGGUCUUUCAAGCCAGAAGUGAAAGGCUACGGCUCAACCGUAGUAAGCUUUUGGAACUGUAGGACUUGAGUGCAGGAGAGGAGAGUGGAAUUCCUAGUGUAGCGGUGAAAUGCGUAGAUAUUAGGAGGAACACCAGUAGCGAAGGCGGCUCUCUGGACUGUAACUGACGCUGAGGCACGAAAGCGUGGGGAGCAAACAGGAUUAGAUACCCUGGUAGUCCAA